rnacentral:snRNA from 1 species
GUGCUCACUUUGGCAGCACAUAUGCUAAAAUUGGAAUGAUCCAGAGAAGAUUAGCGUGGCCCCUGAGCAAGGAUGACACGCAAAUUCAUGAAGCGUUCCAUAUUUUU